rnacentral:rRNA from 1 species
CUUGGUCAUUUAGAGGAAGUAAAAGUCGUAACAAGGUUUCCGUAGGUGAACCUGCGGAAGGAUCAUUAAAGAACGCCCCGUUUUUUGAAAUGGGUAAUUCCCAAACCGUGUCUAUAUAUACCUUUGUUGCUUUGGCAGGUCGCCUUCUAGGCGUCGGCUCCGGCUGACUGCGCCUGCCAGAGGACCCAAACUCGUUUUGUUUAGUGUCGUCUGAGUACUAUAUAAUAGUUAAAACUUUCAACAACGGAUCUCUUGGUUCUGGCAUCGAUGAAGAACGCAGCGAAAUGCGAUAAGUAAUGUGAAUUGCAGAAUUCAGUGAAUCAUCGAAUCUUUGAACGCAUAUUGCGCCCUUUGGCAUUCCGAAGGGCAUACCUGUUCGAGCGUCAUUACACCCUUCAAAGAUGACUCUUUGGCGUUGGGCAAUGCCUAAAGGCAUGCCUCAAAAUCAGCGAUGGUGAUAUUCAACCACAGACGCACACACGUCGUCUAGCUGGCGGGAUGUUGACAGUCAAUUGAUGAAUUUCUAAAUGUUGACCUCGGAUCAGGUAGGAAUACCCGCUGAACUUAAGCAUAUCAAUAAGCGGAGGA